rnacentral:lncRNA from 1 species
CGAGAGCAUCAUUCCUUUCCGACAGCUUAUCCCUGUGUGAAUUAAACAACUCGUUUACCUUGUCCAUGGUGGAACCAAGAGACAUCUUUACAUAGUCUCUGGACUGCUCCUUCCAGUUUGCUAUGUGAUCCUCGACCCCAUCGAGUGCCUCCUUUACAUCCUCCAUGGAUCCCUCGAGUUUACCCACACGUUCCUCUACUGCCGAUAUUGUCUCCUUCAAAGACUUCCUCGCCCACCUUUGUUCGAACUCUUCUCUCGACAUCCCGACGGUGCCUUUGAACCAACAACUCGAAUAUUACUUGGUUCAAACCUUG